UUGAUUGAGAUGAAACGACAGCAGUGCACAUUUCUUUCACUAUGAUGACCGGUUUGGUGGCCUUCAGUAUUUUGGCGCUAGGAAAACAGUUCGACCAAGAAAACUCAAUUGUUAGAUUGACACAGGAAAAAAACAUUGUCUUCAUCCAAGGGAAUUGUGCAGUCAUACAAAUCCUGAUAUAUAUUUUUGGGAUCCAUUAUCCUUGCUUCAUAAUUUAUUUUUUAUUUUCUGUAAUUAUUAGCAUGAUCAAGUAUGUUGUCCAUCAUGAACGAAUUUGUACCUGAAAAAGGAUAUAUGCAGAGUGUCUGCCGAAUACCAAUAACUUGGCAGACACUCCUUAGGCUUCCAUGCCUUCGCAUGUUGUUGGCGUCCUCUAUCUUAGGCGAUAACAUAGUUGUGUUAUGUUUUAUAAUUGUUAAACCCUUGUAAUAUUUCUUCUCAUUUAUAUAUAUGAUGAUGUUCUUCUUUGAUGCCAAAAAAGUGUCGUUUGUCAAGUUAUUGGUAUUUGGCUCAAACAGAUGUAUCUCCAAAAAAGUGUCUGCCAAGUUAUUGGUAUUCGGCUCAAACAGAUGUUACUAGUUUCU